CCUACGGGUGGCUGCAGUGAGGAAUAUUGGUCAAUGGACGAGAGUCUGAACCAGCCAAGUAGCGUGAAGGAUGACUGCCCUAUGGGUUGUAAACUUCUUUUAUAUGGGAAUAAAAUGUUCCACGUGUGGGAUUUUGUAUGUACCAUAUGAAUAAGGCUCGGCUAACUCCGUGCCAGCAGCCGCGGUAAUACGGAGGAUCCGAGCGUUAUCCGGAUUUAUUGGGUGUAAAGGGAGCGUAGGUGGAUGGUUAAGUCAGUUGUGAAAGUUUGCGGCUCAACCGUAAAAUUGUAGUUGAAACUGGCAGUCUUGAGUACAGUAGAGGUGGGCGGAAUUCGUGGUGUAGCGGUGAAAUGCUUAGAUAUCACGAAGAACUCCGAUUGCGAAGGCAGCUUACUAAACUGCCACUGACAUUGAUGCUCGAAAGUGUGGGGAUCAAACAGGAUUAGAUACCCGAGUAGUC
rnacentral:rRNA from 1 species